GACGAACGCUGGCGGCGUGCUUAACACAUGCAAGUCGAACGGAAAGGCCUCUUUCGGGGGGUACUCGAGUGGCGAACGGGUGAGUAACACGUGAGUAACCUGCCCUUGACUUUGGGAUAACUUCAGGAAACUGGGGCUAAUACCGGAUAGGAGCUCCUGCUUCCGGGUGGGGGCUGGAAAGUUUCGGCGGUUGGGGGUGGGCUUGCGGCGUAUUAGCUUGUUGGUGGGGUAGUGGCUUACCAAGGCUUUGGCGGGGAGCCGGCCUGGGAGGGUGACCCGCCACAUUGAGACUGAGGGGCGGCCCAGGCGCCGACGGGAGGCAGAAGGGGGGAAGAUUGAACAAUGGGUGGAGGGCGGGUGCAGCAGCGCCGUGGGCGGGAAGGCGGUCUUGGGGUUGAAGAACGGCUUCGCUCAUGACGAAGCUUUGUGUGACGGUAGUGGGUAAAGAAGCACCGGCUAACUACGUG
rnacentral:rRNA from 1 species